AGAGUUUGAUCCUGGCUCAGGACGAACGCUGGCGGCGUGCCUAAUACAUGCAAGUAGAACGCUGAAGAGAGGAGCUUGCUCUUCUUGGAUGAGUUGCGAACGGGUGAGUAACGCGUAGGUGACCUGCCUUGUAGCGGGGGAUAACUAUUGGAAACGAUAGCUAAUACCGCAUAACAAUGGAUGACACAUGUCAUUUACUUGAAAGGGGCAAUUGCUCCACUACAAGAUGGACCUGCGUUGUAUUAGCUAGUAGGUGAGGUAACGGCUCACCUAGGCGACGAUACAUAGCCGACCUGAGAGGGUGAUCGGCCACACUGGGACUGAGACACGGCCCAGACUCCUACGGGAGGCAGCAGUAGGGAACCUUCGGCAAUGGGGGCAACCCUGACCGAGCAACGCCGCGUGAGUGAAGAAGGUUUUCGGAUCGUAAAGCUCUGUUGUAAGUCAAGAACGAGUGUGAGAGUGGAAAGUUCACACUGUGACGGUAGCUUACCAGAAAGGGACGGCUAACUACGUGCCAGCAGCCGCGGUAAUACGUAGGUCCCGAGCGUUGUCCGGAUUUAUUGGGCGUAAAGCGAGCGCAGGCGGUUUGAUAAGUCUGAAGUUAAAGGCUGUGGCUCAACCAUAGUUCGCUUUGGAAACUGUCAAACUUGAGUGCAGAAGGGGAGAGUGGAAUUCCAUGUGUAGCGGUGAAAUGCGUAGAUAUAUGGAGGAACACCGGUGGCGAAAGCGGCUCUCUGGUCUGUAACUGACGCUGAGGCUCGAAAGCGUGGGGAGCGAACAGGAUUAGAUACCCUGGUAGUCCACGCCGUAAACGAUGAGUGCUAGGUGUUGGAUCCUUUCCGGGAUUCAGUGCCGCAGCUAACGCAUUAAGCACUCCGCCUGGGGAGUACGACCGCAAGGUUGAAACUCAAAGGAAUUGACGGGGGCCCGCACAAGCGGUGGAGCAUGUGGUUUAAUUCGAAGCAACGCGAAGAACCUUACCAGGUCUUGACAUCCCGAUGCUAUUUCUAGAGAUAGAAAGUUACUUCGGUACAUCGGUGACAGGUGGUGCAUGGUUGUCGUCAGCUCGUGUCGUGAGAUGUUGGGUUAAGUCCCGCAACGAGCGCAACCCCUAUUGUUAGUUGCCAUCAUUCAGUUGGGCACUCUAGCGAGACUGCCGGUAAUAAACCGGAGGAAGGUGGGGAUGACGUCAAAUCAUCAUGCCCCUUAUGACCUGGGCUACACACGUGCUACAAUGGUUGGUACAACGAGUUGCGAGUCGGUGACGGCAAGCUAAUCUCUUAAAGCCAAUCUCAGUUCGGAUUGUAGGCUGCAACUCGCCUACAUGAAGUCGGAAUCGCUAGUAAUCGCGGAUCAGCACGCCGCGGUGAAUACGUUCCCGGGCCUUGUACACACCGCCCGUCACACCACGAGAGUUUGUAACACCCGAAGUCGGUGAGGUAACCUUUUGGAGCCAGCCGCCUAAGGUGGGAUAGAUGAUUGGGGUGAAGUCGUAACAAGGUA
rnacentral:rRNA from 1 species